UGUCUGAUUAGCUAGUUGGUGAGGUAAAGGCUUACCAAGGCUUCGAUCAGUAGCUGGUCUGAGAGGACGACCAGCCACACUGGGACUGAGACACGGCCCAGACUCCUACGGGAGGCAGCAGUGGGGAAUUUUGGACAAUGGGGGAAACCCUGAUCCAGCCAUGCCGCGUGAGUGAAGAAGGCCUUCGGGUUGUAAAGCUCUUUCAGCCGGAACGAAACGGUCACGGUUAAUACCCGUGAUCACUGACGGUACCGGAAGAAGAAGCACCGGCUAACUACGUGCCAGCAGCCGCGGUAAUACGUAGGGUGCGAGCGUUAAUCGGAAUUACUGGGCGUAAAGCGUGCGCAGGCGGUUUUGUAAGUCAGAUGUGAAAUCCCCGGGCUCAACCUGGGAACUGCGUUUGA
rnacentral:rRNA from 1 species